UAAGCGCCUGUGCAACUACAGGGCAUGAAGACGGGGGACAAAUGGAUUCCAUGUUUGCAGGAAAACACGCUGGAGGCGCAGGGAAACUUUGUUGUUUAUGAAGAACACGUGAAACCAAUCAAAUCUGAAUUAUCUUCCUGUUGUUCCAGCUUUUGUCGUUUGCAGUUUUUAGUUCGCUCGCCAGCAGUGUCACCACCCAGCGAGCCCGGUGCAUGAAAGAUGGUUAAAGGAGCUUUCCGGCUUCUAUGAAGUGAAACUGAAAGGACAGAGACUUACUUAUAUGGCUGAGCGAUGCCCCAUAAGGAUUACCUUCCCAGCUCCCAGGUUUCCAUUCCUCCGCUGUCGGUGAAUGCAACAUUUCCCUGUCCCGAUGGAGGUCCGUCGAGACGAACAUGCAAUAAUCCGCUCCAGUCGUCCAGAAUCAGCGGGCCUUCGGAGUCCAGGCUCGGUCCUGGGACUCUGUGGCUUUCAUCUCAAUGCGAGUCAGGAGUUGAUUCAAACAUGGAGUGAUGGGAGAAUUAACCCCUGGGACCCAGCUUUCAAUGGGCUCAGCUAAGAGAUUAUAUGUGUUGAUGGCAGGCUUUUAUAUGCGCUGGGCUUUCAAAACUUCAGCUGUUAAAUCAAGGCUCAGGAUCUUCACCUUAUGUCUUUAGUAUAUGUACCCCCUCUUCUGCAUCCCAGCACCUCAUGUUUCAGGGUACCUGUUUCUACCCUGAAACUGUGCGUGAGAACAUUUCCUCUGAAUUGACACGGCCCACAACUUUACAAAUUAUACCGUACAUGUUCACAGCCGGAGGACUCUCACCAGACUGCCACUGGGAGUUUACGUUCGAUGUGCAGCCUCAGAUUCCCAUGACUGUCACUGAGCCUUUGGGAUUCAAGCUCUUUUUUAAACGCAUGUGAAGAUAUGUGAAAUAGUGCUUGAGAGGAAGUGCACACACACGUGAAUGGAGGAACAGAAACACGCAGUCGGUGCGAGAUGGAUUGGAUCAUCCUCGAGAUUGUAAUUAUUUUGAGUUUGAAGCACAACAUCUUUGGUGGUCCUCGCAGGCUUCCAGAGGACGGCAAAGGGGGGGAAAAAAGAGAAAGAAAAAUCCCUGUCCGUUUUCGCAGACUUGAACAACAUGUUGCAUGCAUCCUUUGGUUUCAACAUCCAUGCCGAAGCCAAAGGAUGUUUUGGCAAAACAAGAAGCCACACGCCUCAAAUGUGACUGACACGAGGGAAGUGAAGAGGAAGAAGAAAACAAAAGAUUAGACAACAAGUAACGGUAAAUAAAAGAACACAGAACAAGAGACAACUAAAGUUAGUGGUUUGCAUUUCCAUUUCCUCUGAUUCAUAAGGAUAUGGAGUCUGGCUUAACCUCCUUCAACCUGACCUGUUACAUGUCUUUCCUGGAAAAUGCUCCCUGCUGAGACUGUUCAUACAUCUUCAAGGCCUGAUCCAACCAGCAUUUAAAACAGCUACAUUUUGUGGUGAAAUUUCAAUGAAAUUCUCUCAUCCAUACACAUUCUUUGCGUCAAGAUUAACUUUGCACCAUAAUAGCAUGCCGUCUUGAGAGGGCUGGCCUUUUAGGAAUGGAGAGGCAGGGAAUCAAAAAUGUAGGAAGCUAUCGUAACAUGUUAGCACAUGCACUUUUAUUUAACCCACCUCUGUUAUAGUACAACCUGCACUAUAAAAGAGACAAGGUAUUUAGACCAAAGUCAAUGGUAUAAAUAUGUCCCAUAAUUUAAUAAAUUGUGUGAAUUUAUUGUCUCAUAAAUGACUGAGCUAAUUAGCUUGCUAACUGACAGUUAGCAUGUCCGCUAGUGUUAUCCUCUUCGUCUUUAUUGAGUAAAAUGACGUACAAUUCUGAAAAAGAAAUGCCGGGGGGAAUAAAAUGGCACAGUAGCCUAAAGAGAAAAUAGAAAAAUGCUAGCGUGUUAGCCAUUAGCUCACUAGCUACAGUACUUCACUAAACAUAGCCUACCUGUAAGUACUCACUACAUCACCAAGCCUCUAGCAAGGCGAUAAAGCAAAAACUUGCAAAAAUACAUUUUGCUGUGUGUCUUUCUGGUGUGACCUGGCCUUAAUGUGCACAAUAUGGUUGAAAUCAUCACAGUAGCCUACUAAUAAGAACAUUUUCUGCUAUCUCAAUAUGGCAAAUAUAUAAAAUGUUCAAAUCAAUGAGCCUUUCUUAGGAAUACAAGAAAGACAGCAGUGUUAGGUCAUAUGUGAUUUAACGGCUGAAUCUAAAGCUGAUCAUCAUGACAUUCCCAAAUCUCAUACUACAUUUGGUCACAUUAUAAUAUAUAGACUAAUGUAAUGUACAUUACAUGGACCACCGAAGUAAGUAUAUGGUA